GGAUUUUGGACUCAUUGUGGCUUAAAUUCAACUAUCGAAAGUCUUUAUGCUGGUGUCCCAAUGCUUACUUUUCCGUUAUUCUGGGAUCAAGUUCCAAAUAGUAAGCAAAUUGUACAAGAUUGGAAGACUGGAUGGAGAGUGAAGAAACCUGAGAUAGCAAGUGAACGUUUGGUGACAAGAGAUGAAAUUACAGAGCUUGUGAAAAGGUUUAUGGAUUUGAAUAGUGAUGAGAGGAAAGAGAUGAGUAAAAGGGCCAGAGAAGUUCAAGAGAUUUGUCGAGAAGCAGCUGCAGAAAAUGGAUCAUCUAUUACUAACCUUGAUGCUUUUCUCAAGGACAUUUCACGUGCGUAGCCAUUUCAAUAAAGAAACCUUAUAGAAGCCUAUGUACCCACCUUAAGGUUCUUAUAAUCAAAAUUUUAUUAAGAUGUCCAGCAUCAAGCUCCCGUAGUUGUUUUAUCCCUUUUUUUUUUUUGGGUCCUGUUUACUUUUCCUCAAACCAAAUGAAAUUAGAGUUGUAUUGGAUGCUAUUGAUUUUUUGUGAUCAUACAAUUUUAUUUAAGUUAUUGUAUUUGUCAAUUAUUAGAUCAGUGGAUGAUCAGAUGCAUGAUGUGUAUGGAACACUAUUGCGCAAUAUAUUCAUUUCAAUGGAAUAAGAUCUCAAAACUGAAAAUUAAAAGAAUAAAAAAAAGGUAAAUUCCAAUUUUCCCCAUUUAGAAUGACAAUUUCCACCGUAUCUCCUGAGAUUAUGAAAACAUCAUUCACCCCCAAAUUAGAAUGAAUAGUUUAUGAGAUUUCAAGAAAAAUCAACUCAAGCAAGUCUUUGAAAGUUUAUAGAAUUAUUCUCUAUUUUCAUAGACAAUUAACUAAAACUCUCAAUUUUCUUAUGUGCAUUGAUCAUUGUAAGUCUUUCUCAUUUUUCUUCACGCUGCAUGGCCUGAACAUCACAUUUAUUUUAUACUUAUUGAUGUAGAGCAGAGCCGGUAUUGCGACAAUGGCUACGGAAUUUUCAUUAAAAGCAAAAACAAAAAUCUAAAUCACUAGGACUGAAGUGAGAUAUUUCUAGAACUUCUAGUUUUCUGGGUUGUUCCAACAAACAAAAGGACUCAAUUUCAAUUAAUCAGAAAAAUGAAUUGAAGGAAAGAAGGGCUGAAACGUAAACGUAAAUGGGGCGACCCCAAGAAAAAGAUUCCCGGUGUAAACACUUUCCAAGAUGGCGUGCGGCCGGCAUUAUUGCACAGGGGAGAGUAUUACAUUACUUUAUAAUGAAAGUAAUGUAAUACUUUAGUUUGUUCAUGAGAGAGGAUUUGCUGCUUUUUUUUUUUUUUUUAAGAGAGAGAGGAUUUGCUGGUCACUAGUACAAAUCUGACGCAUGUAAAAUUAAUUUUGUUAUGGAUCACUCCAGAAUGAAAGCAACCGGCAGAAUGUGUCAUAUAGUUGCCCUGCCUUAUCCUGGAAGAGGUCACAUCAAUCCGAUGAUGAACCUCUGCAAGCUACUUGUUUCCAGAAACCCAAAUGUUUUCAUCACCUUUGUUGUGACCGAAGAGUGGCUGAGCUUUAUCGGCUCCGGACACGGUAAUCAUAAUAACAUUCGUUUUGAAACAAUACCCAAUGUUAUACCUUCCGAGCUUGUUCGUGCCAGGGACUUUCUUGCUUUCGUGGAAUCUGUUUCUACAAAGAUGGAAGCUCCAUUCGAGAAGGUCUUAGAUUUUCUUCAAGUUGAGGCACCCGUGGUGUCUGCUAUUAUAGUUGAUACUUUCUUGGCCUGGGCUGUUGAUGUGGGCAACCGCAGGAACAUUCCCGUUGCUUCGUUUUGGUCCAUGUCUGCUUCUCUGUUUUCAGUGUUUCAUCACUUUGAGCUCCUUGUACAAAACGGGCAUUUCCCUGUUGAACUCUCAGGUAUGUACGGUUGCCCCAAGAACUAAUAUUUGUUUAAAACUAUUCUCUUUUGUUACUAACUUCAGAUUAAUUAAUGCGUCCACUUUCGUUAAUUACUACAACUAUCUAUUCACAUACAUUUAUAUAUGCUUGCAUGAACAGUAGUUGUUCUCUUCUGCAAUGUUUGCACUUCAUCGAAUGAACAUUUAAAAUCAAGCAAUACAGAAUUUUUUUCCCCCAAUGACAAAAAGUAAAACAAUAUUGUAUAUGCUUUAAAUUUCAUUGUCUAUGCACUUGAGGAUUUUCAUAAACGUAUAUCCAUUUAUAGUAGCAAGCUACCUACUUGUAAUCAAAUCGUUCUGCUUAAUUGAACUUAUGUUUGGGUUAUUACAGAAAGGGGAGAAGAGGUAGUGGACUACAUUCCAGGACUGGCUUCCACAAAGUUAGCGGACCUGCCAACAAUAUUUUACGGAAGUGGCAGACAAACUCUGCAGCGUGCCCUGGAAAGUGUUUCAAAGGUGUCAAAAGCACAGUGUCUCCUCCUCUCCUCCGUCUACGAACUUGAAGCCAAAGUCAAUGAUACUUUGAAAGCAAAAUUCCCUUUUCCCGUCUACCCAAUUGGACCAACCAUUCCCUACUUCGAAAUCAAACGCAAUUUGUUAACGCCUACUAGUUUGAAUAUUAAGAAUGAGCCCGAUAAUUACUUCCAUUGGUUGGACUCUCAGCCAGAUAGCUCCGUUCUGUAUGUAUCGUUGGGAAGCCUUUGGUCAGUUUCAAGUGUCCAAAUGGAUGAAAUUGUAGCUGGUGUACGCAAUAGUGGCGUUCGUUUUUUCUGGGUGUCACGAGGUGACACUUCUUGGUUUAAAGAUGGAUGUGUUGACAGGGGCAUUGUGGUGCCUUGGUGUGACCAAUUGAAGGUGUUGUGUCAUUCUUCUAUUGGGGGAUUUUGGACUCAUUGUGGAUUAAAUUCCACUCUUGAAGCUGCUUAUGCUGGCGUCCCGAUGCUUACCUUUCCAAUAAUGAUGGAUCAAGUUCCAAAUAGUAAGCUAAUUGUUGAAGAUUGGAAGAUUGGAUGGAGAGUAAAGAAACCUGAGAUUGGAAGUGAAAGUUUGGUGACAAGAGAUGAAAUUACAGAGCUUGUGAAAAGGUUUAUGGAUUUGAACAAUGAUGAGAGGAAAGCUAUGAGUAAAAGGGCUAGAGAAGUUCAAGAGAUUUGUCAAGAAGCAGUUGCUGA
rnacentral:lncRNA from 1 species